CUGGUCUUGAAUUUUCGAGACUUUGUUAAGGCCAGCAUCGAUUCCAUUAUUUAAUGGCAUUUAUGGCGAUUCUUCUAAGAUUAAGGUCAAAAUGGGUAUCCGCUCCUUUUCAUCUUCCGAGAUACCUGAGCAUACAGUGCUUCAAAUGCCAGCUUUGUCACCUACAAUGAGUCAAGGUAAUAUUGUGAAGUGGCUGAAGAAAGAGGGAGAUAAGGUCAGUUACAAUUACUGUGUCAUUCAGAUUUUCUUGACACAGAGCAUUGUCACUUGCUAUGCACACAUUUAAUGAUUAAAUACUAUGAAAGUUUUAGUGCAGAAAUAUGUACUCCCUCCGUCCCACUGAAGAUGA